rnacentral:rRNA from 1 species
UACAGAGGUCUCAAGCGUUGCUCGGAUUCAUUGGGCGUAAAGGGUGCGUAGGCGGCGCGGUAAGUCGGGUGUGAAAUUUCGGAGCUUAACUCCGAAACUGCAUUCGAUACUGCCGUGCUUGAGGACUGGAGAGGAGACUGGAAUUUACGGUGUAGCAGUGAAAUGCGUAGAGAUCGUAAGGAAGACCAGUGGCGAAGGCGGGUCUCUGGACAGUUCCUGACACUGAGGCACGAAGGCCAGGGGAGCAAACGGG